UACGUAGGGGGCUAGCGUUGUCCGGAUUUAUUGGGCGUAAAGAGCGUGUAGGCGGCCAGAUAGGUCUGCUGUGAAAACUCGAGGCUCAACCUCGAGAUGUCGGCGGAAACCAUUUGGCUAGAGUCCGGAAGAGGAAAGUGGAAUUCCUGGUGUAGCGGUGAAAUGCGCAGAUAUCAGGAAGAACACCGAUGGCGAAGGCAGAUCUCUGGGCCGUAACUGACGCUGAGGAGCGAAAGCGUGGGGAGCGAACAGG
rnacentral:rRNA from 1 species